rnacentral:lncRNA from 1 species
GAAAAAUAUCAUAAAAUAAAGGUUUCUGUGGCUAACCACAGUAGACAACUUUCAGAGAGUUUUGUUGGGAGCCACAGUAGAAAGAACAGAUUCGUCAUGAACUGAGUUUUCUACCAUGGCUUCUUACCCAGCAGAGAACCACCGUGAUGGUUUACUCUUAAAAAGGGAAGGAAAAAAAAAAAGGAUUUCAACAGUACAUUACAAUCCAAGAUAUUAACAUAGGAAGCAGUGGUCUGUGUUUUUCUCAAUUUUAUUUUUAAAAGGAGAUGUAUUAAUGUGAAAGGUUUCUUCUACUUUUCCUCUAUCUCUUCACCUCCUCUACUUUAAGUGGAGAUGGGAAAAAUUGUGUAGGAUGCAGCCCCACGCCAGCAGAGCCCAGCAAUAACUUUAGAUCUACCAGUCAAAUCUUGUCGGCUAUUGCUCUGUGCCUCUGUUACAGAAGCAUUAAUGUUAAUUGCCUUCCCCAGGGAUACAAAGAAGUAGAAGUACCAAAGGAAAGGGUAGAUAUUUAACAGAUGCCUCAGUGAUAAGAAAGAUGCCUCCUUGUGUCUCACUGUUUUCUAGCACUGAAACAUGAUACACUUUGUAUCCACCUGCAGAAUAAAGCAAUCCAGACAGGCGCUCUGUAACUUAGACAUCACUUGAUUAAAAUUAUAGUCUCCAAAUAUAGUGUUUUAGAAAAGGCACUGCACAUUUUUAGAGGCACGUGAAUGUCAUUCCCACCUCUAACCCAUCUAACAUCGGUGAGAUGUUAAGAAAAUGUGCCGAUGUUACUGUGAAAUAAAGAUGCCUGUAAUUAAUUGUAGGCAUCACACACAUGCGUGAACAUCCAGAGUUAGGUCUCAAGGCUCUUCUGGUUCUAAGUCCUAACAAACAAUGAUCUUUUCAGUGAACUGUAGAAUUCUGGAAAGAAUAAGCGUACCUCCAGGCUGCUUACAUCAAUAGCUUACACGUGCUUCCUGAUGCCUGCCUUAACAACAAAAAAUUCGUGUCCAUAGCAAAUAUUUAUUGCAUGCCCACUCUGGGCUAGGCACUGUUUUAGAGGACACCGCAGCUAUCAAGGCAGAUGUGGUCCCUGUUCCCAUGAGGCUCCUACAUUUGAGUGGAGGAAGAUGUACUUGUCUACGUUGGGUGAUGAUUAGUGCCAUGAAGAACAAAACGGAUACAGUGAGUAAUGUGGACAGGGCUAUCUUAGCUAUCACUCUAAUAAGGUGAUAUCUGAGGAGAGAUCUGAAUGAAGUGAGGAUACAAUGGAUAUCCAAGGAAAAGAGCAUUCCAGCAAAGGAAAAAACACAUGCAGAGACCCUGAAGGAGAAGCAGGGUCACUUUGUCAAAGGGACAGCAAGGAAGCCAAUGACCGGGUGAAAUGAGUGAAGAGAGCGUUCAGAGAGGACAGCCAAAAGCUCUGUGGGCCACGGCAGGACUUUGUCCCUUGCUGAGCAAGAUGGGAAGCCACUGAAUGUUUGCGGGCAGGGUAGUGACAUGCUGUGACUUAUGUUUAAAAGGAUUACUCCUUCAUAGCGAUGAAGAAAAGCUCUAUAACAAAAGUUCCGUUGUGGUGGUUAUACAGCAUUGUGAAUGUACUUAAUGCC